UACGAAGGGGGCUAGCGUUGUUCGGAAUUACUGGGCGUAAAGCGCACGUAGGCGGACUACUAAGUCAGGGGUGAAAUCCCGGGGCUCAACCCCGGAACUGCCUUUGAUACUGAUAGUCUCGAGUCCGGAAGAGGUGAGUGGAAUUCCGAGUGUAGAGGUGAAAUUCGUAGAUAUUCGGAGGGACACCAGUGGCGAAGGCGGCAUCCUGGACCGGCAUUGACGCUGAGGCGCGAAAGCCAGGGGAGCAAACGGG
rnacentral:rRNA from 1 species